AUUGAACGCUGGCGGCAUGCCUUACACAUGCAAGUCGAACGGCAGCACGGGAGCAAUCCUGGUGGCGAGUGGCGAACGGGUGAGUAAAGUAUCGGAACGUGCCCAGUCGUGGGGGAUAACGUAGCGAAAGUUACGCUAAUACCGCAUACGAUCUAUGGAUGAAAGCGGGGGAUCGCAAGACCUCGCGCGAUUGGAGCGGCCGAUAUCAGAUUAGGUAGUUGGUGGGGUAAAGGCUCACCAAGCCGACGAUCUGUAGCUGGUCGGGGAGGACGACCAGCCACACUGGGACUGAGACACGGCCCAGACGCCUACGGGAGGCAGCAGUGGGGAAUUUUGGACAAUGGGCGAAAGCCUGAUCCAGCCAUGCCGCGUGCAGGAUGAAGGCCUUCGGGUUGUAAACUGCUUUUGUACGGAACGAAAAGGUUUGGCCUAAUAAGCUGAGCUCAUGACGGUACCGUAAGAAUAAGCACCGGCUAACUACGUGCCAGCAGCCGCCGUAA
rnacentral:rRNA from 1 species